UCAUGGUGGACCUCCAGCGGUGCGGAGUGUGAACCCUUUCUGUUUGUUUGGAAACUCGGUGUGACAGAGGGACUGGGUGUGGGACUGGGACUGGAUAUACUGGGACAGAGUGGCUGAGGGAACUGGACACACCAGCCACACUUUGAGAGUGAACGAGCUGUGCACGAGACUUUUUACACAGACAGUACAAGACUUAUCCACGAUGGCGCCACAACAGAAGCUCUCAAUUGACUUGUAAUGGUACACAAAAGAGCUCCUACUCGGAACAAAUCUUACUGGCACACGCCCAAAGUCCGGGCCUGCUGUGAUGGAUCAACCUCUGGUGAAGACCAGGCCGCCAGGAAAGCUUCAAAGCCUUGCAGCCAAUGUUUCAGUGAAAAAAAUCCCCUGCAGCCCAAAAAGGAUUUUCCCCAGAGGCCACCGUUGUAAAAAAGAUAUCUGUAAAACUCUUGCCAGGACACCUCGA